AGAAUCAACGCUGGCGGCGUGCCUAACACAUGCAAGUCGAACGAGAAAGGGGAGCAAUCCCCGAGUAUAGUGGCGCACGGGUGAGUAACACGUGAAUAAUCUACCUCCGAGUGGGGAAUAACUGAGAGAAAUCUUAGCUAAUACCGCAUAACACUUACGAGUCAAAGCAGCAAUGCGCUUGGAGAGGAGUUCGCGGCCGAUUAGUUAGUUGGCGGGGUAAUGGCCCACCAAGACGAUGAUCGGUA
rnacentral:rRNA from 1 species